UCCACUAUCUCCAUUCUAUAACAAUAUAAACACUAUUACACACAUUACUUUCCUCCACUAUCUCAAAUCUAUUAUUAAAUAUAAAUGGGUCCCACCACUAUACCUACUUUUCAUCUAACUUUACUAUUUUUUACAUUUUUUCUUGGUCUUCGUAUCCCAACCAAAUGUAUACAAAUGGUUGGGACGGAGGGAACUAGAGCACACGUGAUAGUCAUCAAUCCAGUCAUUUUAAUUUGUUCCCAAAGCUUGGGUGGUGUGGAUGUUAAUAUCGUCUGAGAACCAUUCAUGUUUGAGCAAAGAGUUGCGUGUUAAUAUCGUCUGAGAACCAUUCGUGUUUGAGCAAAGAGUCAUUUGAGUAAAUAUGAAAGAUCUCCCCUGUAGAUGUAGAAACCAUUGAAGUUAUAUAAAACUCAAGCAAAUCACAAAUGCACACACAGGUGAGACAAGCUCGUUUUAUUAAUCCGAUAAAUUGCUGCUUACAAAAUGAAAGAAACACACUCUGAUAAACUCAAGUUCAGAGUGUUGGAAAAAAAGUCCUACUUAAACAACUAGCUAAGAUGGUAAGGAUAAACAAGAACUGCUGCCUAUGGUUAAUCCACUCCUACAUGCACUCAUGAAAAACAGCUACUGCUAUGGCCUAAUCUUGUGUGCACACUGAUCACAUAGCAACUUAUUUAAAUUAACUAAAUUAAAUAAAAGCAACUGAAGUAUAUCAGAAUUUAGAUCAAACUCCAACAAGCUCCCCUAAUCUAAACUCGAUUGCAGGUUCUUCACACCCAAUAGCUCACACAUUCCCUCAAACUUAGCCCUUGACAAUGCCUUGGUCAAUACAUCAGCUCUCUGUUCAUUUGUGUUGACAUGUACUUUGAGUAUAAUUUCACCACAUUCUACACAUUCCCAUAUAAAGUGGUAGCGAAUAUCUAUGUGUUUACUCCUUCAUGAAACACUGGAUUCUUUGCCAAAUCUAUUGCCCACUUGUUAUCAAUAUACAGCACCACAGGACCAGCCUUUAUAUUCGUCAUCCGUCUGAGAAGUUUAUAAAGCCAUAUGCCUUGACACGCAGCUGCGUUGUUUUUGACAUUGCCAUACCUCUAGUAGACCUCUUGUCAUCCACAUUUCCAACUAGGUCGCUGUUUGAAUAUCCUGAGAGCAAGUAGUUUCCAUCCCGUUUAGAAUAAACCAACCCAUAAUCAAGAGUUCCAUUCACAUAACGUAAAAUUCGUUUUGCUGCAGCUAGGUGCAUGACUAUGGGUCUCUCCAUGAACCUGCUUACAAUGCCAACUGAAUAAGCUAUAUCAGGUCUUGUAAAUACAAGAUACCUGAGUCCUCCAACCAUACUUUUAAGGCUUAAUGACCUUUUAGCCCUCGAAGUAUGAAUGGAAGUUCCGAUGCGGUCUUGAAGUUUAAAAACGUACCUUUCGACCCUCAAAGUAUUUUUGUCGUACCUUUUAGCCCUUUUUAAAAAUACCGGCAUAAAUCAGGGGAUAACUUGAAAAAUAGGCAAGAGCAUAACCCAUCAGCACACCAAGAAUUCCUACUAAUUCUCAUUUUAAGCCGACCCUUGAACAUAUAUAAACCAUGUAGGCAAGUAUUCCUUAAUUAAAGAAUGAAUAAAACUUUCUCCAUCUGUUAUCUAAACUAUUGAAGCCACCAGCGAAGUUGCAACCUUGACAUGUGCCAUUGCUGCAGCAAAAGAAACCUGAUUAUAUCGCAUUCCGUAUUUUACUUUUUUCAGCUUCUCUAGUUAUUCUGUAGGCAAUCCCUUAGUUGCAAUUUCGCUAACAGUAUCCAGCAGCUGGGUAACUAUUUCUUUUGAGAUAAAUAUAACAUUCCCGACAGAUCGGUGGACACGUAGGUAAAGUAUUCCAUUCAUUAUUGUUUUUCCAUGUCAGACAUACCAAUCAUUGCCAUCUGUCAGCAAGGUGGAUGUUGUUGAGGUUAAAUUUUUCAACUUAACGUUUGCUGUUAGAUUUUUCUAAAAAAGUUAAUAGAAUGAUAUAUAAUAUAACAGUAUUUUAGUGGGUUAUAUGAGUCGCCGUGGAGAUCGGGUAGCUACUUGAUAUAUUUUGCUGAGUUCGAUGGGCAAUCUGAUAUAAAACCCAAAACCAAACCAAAUUAAUACUAAAUUUGAUAUUUGAUAUAAUAUAUGAUUUUGGUUCAUAAACCCGUCCAAAUCCAUAUUAAUCAACUAAAAUUGGUCCAAAACAUGAGAGGUCUACUUACUCUCUUGACACAAUUGGUAUAUGAUGAAAAUUUGAACCUUCGGGAAUUGAAAAUAUAUGGGCAUAUCACAGAGGUGGAUCUAAUAUUUCCGCUGCAAUAUGUUGGGGAUAGUAAUGCUCAUGUAUCUAAAGUUCGUAUUACAAGAUUACAUUUAUCGAUUUCAUACCUGGAAGAAGACCCAAUGCCAAUACAAUACUGGAAAUGCUUCCAAUGUUGGGUGUUCUCUGUUUGUUUACCGAUACAUAUAUGGGGAAGGAGAUGGUGUGCUCUGCAACCGGUUUUCCUAAACUCACCCACCUUUUUCUGGACAGCUUACCGAAUCUUGAAAAAUGGAGGGUGGAGAAAGGAAGCAUGCCCAUCCUUUCAUACUUGCGUAUUCAAAGAUGUAACAAG
rnacentral:lncRNA from 1 species